GGCAGUGUUGUGUGAAGGAAGUAGGCCCGCCAUAAGAAGGGAACCUUCUUGUCAACGGUGUUGCGGCUGCGUCAAACCAGAAUGUUCUGCUUCUCGUCUCUUCUCUUCCACGGUUUAUGCAGACCGGAGACUGUGAACAUGUGGGGUUUGGCCUCAUAAAUGUCAACGUUUGUGCACGUGAAUGGGUACGCUCAGAAGUAAUUGGUUUGGUCUGCAGAAUCACCGGCGGAACAGCAGAGGACAGGAGAAGAGGGUGAGAGAGGAGGAAGAGAGCCGGCGCUUUGCUUCAGCUCAUUAACCAACGCCUGUUAGCUUGGAAAUAAAUUGGGUUUGGAUGUAAUCAGGUCUGGGCGUGAAUAGUAAAAUUCAUCUCAUCUUUGUCUGAUACUUUUUGAAACCCGACACGUCAGCUGACGAGGACAGCAGAGCAAAGAGUCGUCGUCAGUGCUAGCACAAAAUCCAACGAUUUCUGCCAGAAGCAUGACUAGCUGUCACUUCAAUUCUCGAGCCCGCUGUGCUACAAGGUUGCCCCAUACAGAUCGCUCAUGUUUGAUAAAAGCAGCAAAAUGUUUCCUCAUCAGAGGAAACAUAUUACCCGUUAUGCAUCAAACAAAGAGCGACGGCUGCGUUCCAGGCUCAGUUGAUCUUGAACUGGCCGCCUCUCUCGUCUUUCUGUGUCACCUCUCCUGAGUGACGUGCAGCCUGACUGGACAUGGCACCGUCGUCUGACUGGAACCAAAUGAGCCGCUGAUUUAUCCUCGUUUCUGAAUGAACGGGCGCAUUUCGGCGGCAUCUCCUGCAUUCCUGGACGCAUUUCUUUUUCUGUCAGAGUGCCCUGGCACUUCUUUUCCCGCUUUGGCUGAGCAAAUUUUCAACACUUCUUAAGGUAAUUUAAAUCCUUUUGCGUGGAAAAAUGUGUCUGUGCCAGAUGUGAAGUCAACAAUCCUCUUGGCACCUGUGUGACGGCAGUUUAAUUGAAAUGUCAGCUGAUACACUCCGAAUCCACAGAUUUUAAAUUUUUUUUUUCUUCUUGUCCCCAACGUCCUCAUCUUGUCUCUGCUCUUCUCUGCUCCCGCCGCGCUGCCCUGAGUUACAACUUCAUCUUUCCUGCGUAGCCGAGGACGGGAGGUGAAGCAAUGCAUCAGCUGCCCUCUCCUCGCUUCCCACCCUGCGUUCUCAGCUGACCUGAGAUGGCCUCCUCUCUACCCCCCCCAAAAAAAGAGAAGAACUCUUCUGCUUCCUGUGCCCACGGGGGUUGAAGACAGUCACCCAAGAUUCCGCAUGACUGCAAGUAUAAAUCUGACGGAAGUAAUUACCCAUCAUCCUCCAGGGGCCCGGAGCGCGCUUCCCGCCUCCUCUUCAACUUCGACGUAGUUCAACCUUUUUCCACUCAGAUGGGAGGAGAGUUGUGGUGCGUGAGGGGGCAAAGUCGUACUUGGAGUUAAUUGCCUCGGGCAGUUUGGUAACGGGGGGGAUGAAGAGGUCUAGAAUUUCCUGGUAGAUGGCUGCAUCCUUGCCUUGCCGUUGCCUUCCUAUGUAUUUCCGCUAACCUUGCUUUACAGCUCAGUCUGUGCUUUCUUCCAUUCACUUGGAUUUUUCCAGUAGAAUUUCAACUUGGUCAAUCAGAAGAACUUGUGAACGACCACAUUGGUUUUCUGCACUACUUUAGAAUUGUAGUCUGCCAAAGACGUUCAAUCCAUGUUGGUGCACGCUUCCAAAUUCUUGGAUUAACAUUAACAGCAAUUUCUGGUAAGCUGCUCUAAAUCAAAUAAUGAGCAGCAAUUUUGGUAAGACUUGAAGCUACCACUGCAUUAUAGUUCUAUACAAAGAGCUCAAUCUUGCUAUUCCAGUUUUUGCAGCAUUUAAUAAUGCUCAUCAUGCAAUAGUCAAAGACAAAUAGGACUUUUAACAGUCCUGAGAUUUUAAACCUCUGCUACAAUUUUUAGCUGCUGAACAGGCACCCAUAGCUUUCUAACAAUGUUGCUUUUUGAUCGUCGGCUUCUCCAUUUCUGUGACUGGGACAGAGCUGGAUUCCUGCUCCAACCCAGCAAAGUUGAUUGGCGAUCGAUCACUCAUGAUGUGAGAUUCUCCCACUUUAAACAGGAGAGGGGUGAAAAUGCAUUAUGAUUUAACAUCAACAUUACAAACAUCACCUAAUCACCUAAUCAAUCAAAAAGCUCAGUUUUUUGUAAUUUAUUUUUAUUUUUUUGCAAUUUCCCCUUAUUGAAUCAAUUUGUUGUGUGUCAAGAAUGAAAAAGGAUACAGUGAGUUCUGAAGUCGAUGCCGUAACGAAAAAGAUUGUUUUUGUCAACUGAAUAUAACAUUGGUUUAUUAGCUUAUCUUCAGAUUGAUAUCUAUUACAACACAAAUGUACAUCUUAUAAAGGGCGGGGAGAUCAAUGUCCAACAUUGCUGUCAAAUUAAUCUAAAGCCAAACUACUGAUUACUGUUUAUUACUUGGUAAAAAAAAAAAAGUGAGCAUGAGAGAAGUUAAGCUAAUUUAGUCUGAUUAUGACACAACUGAGUUCAGUACAAUGUAAAGCACAGUAUAACUUGGCAUGAAAAUCAAUUAAACAUUUGUUUCCCA